UUGGAGGCACUGCCUGCCCAGUGACACUUGUUUAACGGCCGCGGUAUCCUGACCGUGCAAAGGUAGCAUAAUCAUUUGUUCUCUAAAUAAGGACUUGUAUGAAUGGCCACACGAGGGUUUAACUGUCUCUUACUCCCAAUCAGUGAAAUUGACCUUCCCGUG
rnacentral:rRNA from 1 species